rnacentral:lncRNA from 1 species
AUGCUUUAACAAGUUAGCCCCCGUUUGGUUCGGGGUUAAGAAAAAGUAGCUAUUCCAGGAAUAGAGUUAAGUUCAGGAUUAAAAUAGUGUUAAAAUUUUUUUGUGUUUGGUUGGAGUUGGAGUUAGUCUAGGAUAGUGAAAAAAAGUGUUUGGUUGGAGUAGGUGGGAUAAGAAGAUAAUGAUUGAUAAAGAAGAAAAAGGUGAGAGCUCGGGAUGCGUGCGGGGUUAAAGUUGGGAGGGGGAGUGGGGUUAAUGAUUGAUAAAGAAGAAAAAGGUGAGGGCUCGGGAUGCGUGCGGGAUUAAAGUUGGGAGGGGGAGUGGGGUUAGUAAACCCCACUANUUGAUAAAGAAGAAAAAGGUGAGGGCUCGGGAUGCGUGCGGGAUUAAAGUUGGGAGGGGGAGUGGGGUUAGUAAACCCCACUAACCCGGUUUGGGGUGGGGUUUACUAACCCCACCCCAAAAGAGUGGUGUUUGGGUAUAAAUUGGGGGUUAAG